GUCUACACCGGGAUGUUCAUAACCCUUUGUUGUCCGACUCUGUUGCCUCCGGGGCGACCCUGCCUUCGGGCGGGGGCUCCGGGUGGACACUUCAAACUCUUGCGUAACUUUGCAGUCUGAGUAAACUUAAUUAAUAAAUUAAAACUUUUAACAACGGAUCUCUUGGUUCUGGCAUCGAUGAAGAACGCAGCGAAAUGCGAUAAGUAAUGUGAAUUGCAGAAUUCAGUGAAUCAUCGAAUCUUUGAACGCACAUUGCGCCCCCUGGUAUUCCGGGGGGCAUGCCUGUUCGAGCGUCAUUUCACCACUCAAGCCUCGCUUGGUAUUGGGCAACGCGGUCCGCCGCGUGCCUCAAAUCGACCGGCUGGGUCUUCUGUCCCCUAAGCGUUGUGGAAACUAUUCGCUAAAGGGUGUUCGGGAGGCUACGCCGUAAAACAACCCCAUUUCUAAGGUUGACCUCGGAUCAGGUAGGGAUACCCGCUGAACUUAAGCAUAUCAAUAAGCGGAGGA
rnacentral:rRNA from 1 species